GACAGAGGGGGCAAGCGUUGCUCGGAAUCACUGGGCGUAAAGGGCGCGUAGGCGGGAUGGCAAGUCAGUCGUGAAAUCUCUCGGCUCAACCGAGAAACGUCGGCUGAUACUGCCGUUCUUGAGGGAUGCAGAGGAGACUGGAAUUCCCGGUGUAGCGGUGAAAUGUGUAGAGAUCGGGAGGAACACCGGUGGCGAAGGCGGUUGCCUGGAGCUUUGCUGACGCUGAUGUGCGAGAGCGUGGGGAGCGAACCGG
rnacentral:rRNA from 1 species